ACAAUUACCAAUGCCAAUUGCAGGGAGCAAUAACGGAGGUCAUGUCCAAAACUAUAAUCCCACUCACUCAUUAAUUAUUAAAGCAAUCGAUCGGUGUUUAAUCGUUUCAACAUAUUAUAUUCGUUUGAUAGGCAGCCACGUAAGAAACAGGGAAAAGGGUGACGGGGCUGGUGCUGAUUGUUGCUGGGAGAUGUGGGAGUGGGGGGCAGGCAGUGGCGCUGCAGCACCAGGUGGAGGCGCUGGCCGCUGGUGAGGGUGGAGUAUAGUAGCCAUGGCAUCUAUGCCGUCAACAGCCACGAUCAAUGUGAAGCUUUUUUUGGGUCCAAAUGGCAAAAGAGAGAGAAAUAAAAAUCAUAUCCUAACUGCAAAUCCGAUCUUUAAAUGUACAAUCUACUGCUAUGUAAUGAAUAACGUAAUUAUUUC
rnacentral:lncRNA from 1 species